rnacentral:rRNA from 1 species
GAUGAACGCUGGCGGCGUGCCUAAUACAUGCAAGUCGAGCGAACAGAUGAGGAGCUUGCUCCUCUGACGUUAGCGGCGGACGGGUGAGUAACACGUGGAUAACCUACCUAUAAGACUGGGAUAACUUCGGGAAACCGGAGCUAAUACCGGAUAAUAUAUUGAACCGCAUGGUUCAAUAGUGAAAGACGGUUUUGCUGUCACUUAUAGAUGGAUCCGCGCCGAAUUAGCUAGUUGGUAAGGUAACGGCUUACCAAGGCAACGUUGCGUAGCCGACCUGAGAGGGUGAUCGGCCACACUGGAACUGAGACACGGUCCAGCCUCCUACGGGAGGCAGCAGUAGGGAAUCUUCCGCAAUGGGCGAAAGCCUGACGGAGCAACGCCGCGUGAGUGAUGAAGGUCUUCGGAUCGUAAAACUCUGUUAUUAGGGAAGAACAAAUGUGUAAGUAACUAUGCACGUCUUGACGGUACCUAAUCAGAAAGCCACGGCUAACUACGUG